rnacentral:rRNA from 2 species
AGCAUAGCGAUUUGGGAUAAGUCCCUUGGAAGAGGGCAGCAUGGAGGGUGAUACUCCCGUCUCUGCUCAGGUUGUCUGUGUGUACGAUACGCUUUCUUUGAGUCGAGUUGUUUGGGAAUACAGCUCAAAGUAGGUGGUAAAUUCCAUCUAAAGCUAAAUAUUGGUGCGAGACCGAUAGCGAACAAGUACCGUGAGGGAAAGAUGAAAAGAACUUUGAAAAGAGAGUUAAAGAGUACCUGAAACUGUUGAAAGGGAACCGUAUCGUUUCUAGUGUUUAUCCUAUGCAUAUUUCAUUGGCGGUUGCAAAAUUGCUGGUGCCCUGUGCAUGGGUGUGACGUCAGAGUCAAUUUAAAUUGCGGGAGAUGGGUAGAGAGGAGGUGCGCCGCUUGCGGAAAGUUAUACCUUUUUGCCUAGUAGCCGUGGUUGAGACUGAGGUGCC